rnacentral:rRNA from 1 species
GAUGAACGCUGACAGAAUGCUUAACACAUGCAAGUCUACUUGAUCCUUCGGGUGAUGGUGGCGGACGGGUGAGUAACGCGUAAAGAACUUGCCCUGCAGUCUAGGACAACAUUUGGAAACGAAUGCUAAUACCGGAUAUUAUGUGAGUUUCGCAUGAAAUUCAUAUGAAAGCUAUAUGCGCUGCAGGAGAGCUUUGCGUCCUAUUAGCUAGUUGGUGAGGUAACGGCUCACCAAGGCGAUGAUAGGUAGCCGGCCUGAGAGGGUGAACGGCCACAAGGGGACUGAGACACGGCCCUUACUCCUACGGGAGGCAGCAGUGGGGAAUAUUGGACAAUGGACCAAAAGUCUGAUCCAGCAAUUCUGUGUGCACGAUGAAGUUUUUCGGAAUGUAAAGUGCUUUCAGUUGGGACGAAGUAAGUGACGGUACCAACAGAAGAAGCGACGGCUAAAUACGUGCCAGCAGCCGCGGUAAUACGUAUGUCGCAAGCGUUAUCCGGAUUUAUUGGGCGUAAAGCGCGUCUAGGCGGUUUGGUAAGUCUGAUGUGAAAAUGCGGGGCUCAACUCCGUAUUGCGUUGGAAACUGCCAAACUAGAGUACUGGAGAGGUGGGCGGAACUACAAGUGUAGAGGUGAAAUUCGUAGAUAUUUGUAGGAAUGCCGAUGGGGAAGCCAGCCCACUGGACAGAUACUGACGCUAAAGCGCGAAAGCGUGGGUAGCAAACAGG